rnacentral:rRNA from 1 species
UACGGAGGGGGCUAGCGAUACUCGGAAUCACUAGGCGUAAAGCGCAGGUAGGCGGUUUGGUAAGUCUUUUGUGAAAGCUCCCGGCUCAACUGGGAGAGGCCAAGGGAAACUACCGGACUAGAGUCUGGUAGGGGGAUCUGGAAUUCCUGGUGUAGCGGUGGAAUGCGCAGAGAUCCGGAGGAACACCAGUGGCGAAGGCGACACGCUGGGCCAUACCUGACGCUAAAGCGCGACAGCAUGGGGAGCAAACGGG